rnacentral:rRNA from 1 species
ACAAGCAAAGAAGGGCGUAUGGGGGAUGCCUAGGGCUCUCAGAGGCGACGAAGGACGCGAUAAGCUGCGAAAAUCCACGGGAGCUGACAUGAGCAUUGAUCCGUGGGUGUCCGAAUGGGGCAACCCGGCAGGUUGAAGGCCUGUCACACACCGCAAGGUGGCCAACCCGCCUGAACUGAACAUCUAAGUUGGCGGAGGAGAAGAAAAACAAAAGUGAUUCCGAGAGUAGUGGCGAGCGAAAUCGGAUUAGUCCAAACCAAUGUUGUUUCGGCUGUUGGGGUUGUAGGACCACCGGAUUCUUUGCGUGACGCCCGGAAGCAGUUGGAAAGCUGCACGAUAGGGUGACAGUCCCGUACGGGCAAGGAGCGUAAAGAUAGUGGUAUCCUGAGUAGCGCGGGGCACGUGAAACCCUGUGUGAAUCCGCGGGACCAUCCUCCAAGACUAAAUCUCCUGAGAGACCGAUAGUGUAACCAGUACCGUGAGGGAAAGGUGAAAAACCUGAACAAGGGAGUGAAAAAGACCCUGAAACCAUACGCCUACCAGCGGUCGGAGCCCCUUUGGGGGUGACGGCGUGCCUUUUGCAUAAUGAGCCUACGAGUUACUUUUACCGGCAGGUUAAGCACCUCAGUUCGCAGCCGCAGCGAAAGCGAGUCUGAACAGGGGCGCCAUAGUCCGGUCGAGUAACGCGAAACCGUGCGAUCUAACCCAUGGGCAGGUUGAAGCUGUGGGUAACACACAGUGGAGGACGAAACCCGUUGACGUUGUGAAAAGUCUUGGGCUGACCUGUGGGUAGGGGUGAAAGGCCAAUCAGCUGGAAUAGAUCGUACUCCCCGAAAAUUGCAUUGAGUGCAGCGUCCUGAUAGUUAUAUAGCGGUAGAGGUAUGAUUGGAGGCGGGGGCUUCACGUUCUAAAAUUCUGACAAACUCCGAAUGCUAUGAUAAUGUUUCAGGGCAAGUGGGGCAUGGGUGUGCUAAGGGCCAUGUCCGAAGGGAACAGAAACCCGGACCAUCAGCUAAGGUCCCCAAAUAUGUGCUAAGUUGACAAAACGCGGUGCAAUGGGAUGACUGACAGCCAGGAGUUGGCUGGAUAGCACCAUCCAUUUAAAGAGUUUGGCCGUAACAGCUCACUGGUCGAGCGGGUCCCGCAUGGAUAAUGACUAGGGCAUAAGAACAUUACCGAAGCUAUGGCUUCCAAGGAGUAGGUAUGGUGGGAGCAUGCCGUUCGCGAUGAUUGCAGCGGCCUGCGAAUGGUCCCGUGGAGCGUACGGAAACGAAAAUGUAGGAAUAAGUAACGAUAAUGCGGGCGAGAAACCCGCACGCCGAAAGACCAGGUUUCCCCGGCCAUGCUAAUCAGCCGGGGGUCAGUCGGACCUAACCCGACCCGGAGGGGCAGUGGAUGGGCAAGCGUUUAUAUUCCGCUAACCCGCAAUGCGACAAAAGUGACGGGGCGCCGAGGUUGGUGCGUGCUGACGGAAUUGCACGUUGAACCCUGGGGGGAUAGUACACCAAGGCCACGGCCGCGGUGAUAAUCCAGCGGAAGGCGCCUCCAAGAAAAGCGAGCAUUGCGGCCCGUACCGUAAACCGGACACAGGUGGUCGGGAUGAGAAUUCUAAGGCGCGCUCGGAGAUUCAUGGUCAAGGACAGGCACAAUGGACGCGUAACUUCGGGAGAAGCGUCGCUCCCCUCCGGGGGAGCCGCAAUGAACUGCCCAGGCGACUUUUUAUAUCAAAAACCCAGGGCUCUGCCAAAUCGAAAGAUGACGUAUAGGGCCUGACACCUGCCGCGGUGCCGGAAGGUUAAAGGGAGAUGUCCCGCCGAAAGGUGAAGCAUUGAACUUGAAGCCCGGUAAACGGCGGCCGUUACCUAUAAACGGUCCUAAUGUAGCGAAAUUCCUGUCGGGUAAGUUCCGACCUGCACGACUGGUGCACGAUCUGGGCACUGUCUCGACCAUGAUCUCGGUGAAAUUGUAUAAUCGUGAAGAUGCCGGUUACCCGCAGUGGGACGAAAAGACCCCGGCACCUUUCACUAUAGCUUUCGUAUUGACCCUGGGCAAGGGAGUGUAGGAUUUAAAAAGCCCUGGGAGAUUUGAAGCGCUGUCGCCAGGCAGUGUGGAUCCGGUGUUGAAAUACCAGUCCCCCCCCCCCCCCCCCCCCCCCCCCCCCCUUCGUUUGUCCCGGGGCCUAACCCAGCGAUUGGGGACAGUGGGGGGGGGGCGUGGUGGGUAGUUUGAUCUGGGUGGUCGCCUCCAAAGAGUAACGGAGGCUUCCAAAGGUGCCCUCAACACGGUUGGCAAUCGUGUGCAGAGUGCAAUGGCACCGGUCGCUUGUACUGUGUAGACAUCAAGGUCGAACAGGUACGAAAGUAGGGCAUAGUGAUCCGGUGGUUCGCAUGGAAGGGCCAUCGCUCAAAGGAUAAGGGUCGCCCGGGGAUAACAGGCUGAUCUCCCCCAAGAGCUCAUAUCGAACGGGGGGUUUGGCCACCUGAUUCGGCUCGUCAAAUCCUGGGGGCUUGAGAAGGUCCCAAGGGUUGGGCUGUUCGCCCCAUUAAGUGGCACGCGAGCUGGGUUCAGAACGUCGUGAGACAGUUCGGUCUCUAUCUACUGCGGGCGUGAGAGAUUUGAGUGGAAUCUGGUUCAUAGUACGAGAGGAACCGAACUGGACCGACCGCUGGUGCGCCGGUUUGUCCCGCCAGGGGCAAUCGCCGUGUACUAAGUCGGAUGGGAACUAAGCGCUGAAGUGCAAUAAGCGCGAAACCCGCCACAAGAUAGAUCUCUUUAAAGGGCCGUGGGAGAUACCCACGUCGAUGGCCCGUAGGUGGAAGUGCAGCGAUGCAUGUAGCGAGCGGUACUAAUUGCCCGUAAUCUGCGCAC